rnacentral:rRNA from 1 species
AUUGAACGCUGGCGGCAUGCCUUACACAUGCAAGUCGAACGGUAACAGGUCUUCGGAUGCUGACGAGUGGCGAACGGGUGAGUAAUACAUCGGAACGUGCCUAGUAGUGGGGGAUAACUACUCGAAAGAGUGGCUAAUACCGCAUGAGAUCUACGGAUGAAAGCAGGGGAUCGCAAGACCUUGUGCUACUAGAGCGGCCGAUGGCAGAUUAGGUAGUUGGUGGGAUAAAAGCUUACCAAGCCGAGGAUCUGUAGCUGGUCUGAGUGGAGGAUCAGCCAACCGGGGACUGAGACACGGCCCAGACUCCUACGGGAGGAAGCAGUGGGGAAUUUUGGACAAUGGGCGCAAGCCUGAUCCAGCAAUGCCGCGUGCAGGAUGAAGGCCUUCGGGUUGUAAACUGCUUUUGUACGGAACGAAAAGCCCUGGGUUAAUACCCUGGGGUCAUGACGGUACCGUAAGAAUAAGCACCGGCUAACUACGUGCCAGCAGCCGCCGUAA